AAGGUAUUAAGUUAAGAAGACUGUGGCACUUCAAAUGCCGAAGUGGAGCAGUGAUUCAUACCUUG
rnacentral:tRNA from 1 species